UACGGGGGGGGCAAGCGUUGUUCGGAAUUACUGGGCGUAAAGGGUUUGUAGGUGGCUUGUUAAGUCAGACGUGAAAUCCCUCAGCUUAACUGGGGAACUGCGUCUGAUACUGGCGAGCUUGAGUGCAGGAGAGGAACGCGGAAUUCCAGGUGUAGCGGUGAAAUGCGUAGAUAUCUGGAGGAACACCGGUGGCGAAGGCGGCAUUCUGGACCGACAUUGACGCUGAGGAGCGAAAGCCAGGGGAGCAAACGGG
rnacentral:rRNA from 1 species